AUGGAUUAUUUUCAUCCUGCAGGGCCAGAAGGUUUCUCUGUCCUCCCACUUCUGCAGUUCUCCCUGAAGCAUUUCUGCCUUCACAUAUGUGACUUCCACGGUCAGCGAGGGAAACCUGAGACCUGCCGGGCAGAUAUUGGUAUUCAAGGCACGUGCAGAGGAUGUGUGCAAGACUUAACCAGGCUUCUACUUGAAUUUUGUCUGGGUAACUUCCAGGUAAAGGGAGUGCACACAUCUGGCCCAGGUGGCCCAUUGUUUACUGCUGGUUCCAGGAUGGUCAGGAAGGCAGCUCAGGUUUAUUCCAGCACAGUGUUCAUGUGGUGUGGUAAUGGAUGUUAUGGGCAGGAGAAGGAUGAGAGUCUGAUGCAGCAAACAGUAAGAACAGGUUUAAAUAGAGGUCAUUGUGAACACAGUAAAUUCCUGAUUGGUUUUGUUACUACAUACUGUGCAGAAACAACAGAGGAGUCAUCACGUUGCUGUGAAAAUACACAAGAUGUGUUGUCAGCAAUAGCUGCAGUGAUUGCUCGGUGGUGUCCAGAACCAGAGAGAAGGAAAGAUCUUCAGACCAAGAUGGAAACAGCCGGGGUUCCUUGGAAGAGCUGAGCCUUGAGGGCAGGACUAAGACUUCGAAAGACGGUGAUGGCCGUGGCACCUUCUCCUGGGUUGAGUUUAUCUGUAUUUUAUCCACAGGGUGGCACAUGGACCUUCCUGGGGAGAUCUGAAUGGUAUCACAGCGCAAACAGCUUUUGUUCGGGUAGCCGUAGUUCAGGCUGAGGCACAGCUGACCCAAAAUAGAGCCCAGACAGACAACGCCGAGGAUGGCUCGAGGCUUUGGGAGGACAUGGCAGAGGGAACCUUACCCUGUGUGGGGCACACAGAGCCUCGCCGAUGCUACACCUGCGCUGGAAGGAUAGGGGAGAUUUCCAAAUCAAUGUACCGGUGCUCAUUUUUUGUUUGUUUGUUUGAUUUUUGUUUUCAAAACCUGUGCAGGGCUGCUGGGUUGAUGUCACCACCGCUUUGUCUGGCUUUGGCCUGAGGGGCAGGAGGGAGUCUGGUCACCCCCGUAAUCCCAGCAGCCUCCAAUGGCAACGACAGCCCUCGGAUGAAUGAAGGCAGCAGCACUGUGCAAAUUACCUUUUCUUUCUUAUCCACAGUAAGACAGAUAAUAAUCCUCCUACGGGACUAAUUACAGCCAAUGAAAAUAACUCCCACUGCCAGUAUUUGAAGGAUAACCACUUAGAUGAAAAAGAGUGAACAAUGAUUAUUAUUUUGUGCGUGGCUCUCUCUCGCCCCAUCUAUUCUGACCUCAGUAAAUCACAGUGUAAUUAAUCACUGAGGAUUAAACACCGCAGGGAAAAGAGUAGGAAAUUAUGUAUAAGCAAAACUUGAAAUGACUUUGACUUACCAUAAAUUUGGGUUAUCUGUCUCACAGAAUACGUUUCCUAGGCUGCCUCUUACGGAAUAAAUCUAUCCCGACCUGUGUACAUGAGAACUGUAUGAAUAGUGAAGACUGGAGUAUCGAUGGGUGUGUAAGAAACUAAUCAAAAAAGGCAGUGACUGUGGAAGAUGUGGGUUGGCUCUUUGGGCAUUCCAGAAGCAGAAAAAUGCACAGAGAUCCCUCAGCAGACAGGGUAGGACUUAAGUGCUCAUCUUUAAACGUGGAAACCAGCCUCAGAGAGACUAGACAUUAAACUUUAUGUUUAACAAAGUGAAAAGAAGAUGUUCACUUAGCACUGAAGGCUAUUAGACACCAAAAAGACAAAGUAAAGGAUGUGUGUGUAUACGUACACCCCUGUAUACGUACACCCCUGUAUACGUACACCCCUGUAUACGUACACCCCUGUAUACGUACACCCCUGUAUACGUACACCCCUGUAACGUACACCCCUGUAUACGUACACCCUGUAUACGUACACCCCUGUAUACGUACACCCCUUGUAUACGUACACCCUGUAUACGUACACCCCUGUAUACGUACACCCCUGUUAUACGUACACCCCUGUAUACGUACACCCCUGUAUACGUACACCCCUGUAUACGUACACCCCUGUAUACGUACACCCCUGUAUACGUACACCCCUGUAUACGUACACCCCUGUAUACGUACACCCCUGUAUACGUACACCCCUGUAUACGUACCACCCCUGUAUACGUACACCCCUGUAUACGUACACCCCUGUAUACGUACACCCCUGUAUACGUACACCCCUGUAUACGUACACCCCUGUAUACGUACACCCCUGUAUACGUACACCCCUAUAUACGUACACACCCCCCCCCCCCCUCCCCUGUAUACGUACACCCCUGUAUACGUACACCCCUGUAUACGUACACCCCUGUAUAACGUACACCCCUGUAUACGAUCUUNNNNNNNNNNNNNNNNNNNNNNNNNNNNNNNNNNNNNNNNNNNNNNNNNNNNNNNNNNNNNNNNNNNNNNNNNNNNNNNNNNNNNNNNNNNNNNNNNNNNCCCCUAUAUACAUACACCCCUAUAUACAUACACCCCUAUAUACAUACACCCCUAUAUACAUACACCCCUAUAUACAUACACCCCUAUAUACAUACACCCUAUACAUACACCCCUAUAUACAUACACCCCUAUAACAUUACACCCCUAUAUACAUACACCCCUAUAUACAUACACCCCUAUAUACAUACACCCCUAUAUACAUACACCCUAUAUACAUACACCCCUAUAUACAUACACCCCUAAUAAC
rnacentral:lncRNA from 7 species